GUCAGACAGGUCAGGUUUAUUUCUCACGGAUGGUUUCUCUCUGACUCACCCUUAUUCCGAGGGUAUAACCACCUUCAGGGGUCCAGCCAAGACUGUGCUGUCCUUCGUCCUUGGUGGUCCCUGGACCCCAAUAUUUUUUCUCAUGACCGUAAAUCUGCUGAAAGUUCUGCUUAAAUCUUCAGCCUCUUAGAAGUCACUUUCUGCAAAGCUCAUUCUGCUUAGGAAUUGGAGCUCAGCAAGGAGGGCCAGCACUGGGGGCCUCACUCUGCUGGUGGCAGAGGAGACGGUGGAAAUCGAUGGAGUGAGAGAGACCCGGUGGUGGUGACUUAUUACAGGGAGCAGAGGAGUCAAGGAUGAACGCAGACUGUCUUCUGAGAUGCUGGGGGCACACGCUGGCCAACCAGACUGAUGUCUGCGCCCUGCCAGGCUCCCGAAGCCCUCCCCUGGGGGUGCCCAGACCUCCUCCCUGUGCAUCCCCCAUUAUAGCGCUGACUACUCUGUGGCAUCACGCGUCCUUGUCCGCCUCGCCCGCCAGCUGGGAGCUCCCCAGUCGGGUGCUUUGUCUGCGUAUCUCUGUGUCACAGCGUUGCCCAGCCC
rnacentral:lncRNA from 1 species